rnacentral:lncRNA from 1 species
AAUUAAUUACUAAAACCCCAAAUUUUAUCAAUUGACAAAACCCAAAUCUUCAAUCAUCUCAAAUGGCUCAUUCAAAUUCAGUUUGUCCAUUAAUUAUUUAUCUAAAGAUAACAAGAAGGCAUUUUGGACUCACCUUACUAACGGGGGAUCGCCGAAAAACGAUGAGAUCGCCGGAAAUCGAGCAGGAGACGCGAUCUGGCGGUGGAGCAGAACUGCGACUUCUGCCAUNNNNNNNNNNNNGAGAGAGGAGGAGGAGGCUUGAGCAUCUGCGGCGGUGACGCGACGGUGAGGUGGCGCUGGUUCUGGUGGUCGAAAAAAUGAGAGGAGGAGAGGCAGUGAGGUCGCCGCGCCGCUCGCCAGAGGAGAAUCGCAGCUCGCCUAGUUGCUGCGUUUCCAGAAAUGAGGACAGGGAGGGAGGCGCUGCCGUUCAAUGGUUGCACGAUGGAGGUUCAGUCGGCUCAGGUGGCCGGAAACAAAGGAGGAUAGGGG